rnacentral:tRNA from 5 species
GAGCCUAUAGCUCAGAGGAUAGAGCACUGGUCUCCGGAACCAGGUGCCCAGGUUCGAGUCCUGGUAGGCUCGCCA